rnacentral:rRNA from 1 species
UACGGAGGGUGCAAGCGUUAUCCGGAUUUACUGGGUUUAAAGGGAGCGCAGGCGGAUUGGUAAGUCAGUGGUGAAAUACCCGUGCUUAACGUGGGAACUGCCAUUGAUACUAUCAGUCUUGAAUGUUGUUGAGGUUUGCGGAAUGGGUCAUGUAGCGGUGGAAUGCGCAGAUAUCAGGAGGAACACCAAUAGCGAAGGCAGCUCGCUGGGACGGUAUUGACGCUGAGGCGCGAAAGCGUGGGGAGCAAACAGG